rnacentral:rRNA from 1 species
GAUUAACGCUGGCGGCGUGCAUAACACAUGCAAGUCGAACGAAGUGGCGGACGGGUGAGUAACGCGUGAGUAACCUGCCUUAGAGAUGGGGAUAGCCUCUGGAAACGGAGAAUAAUACCCAAUGCUCUAAGAUGGACUUGCGUCUGAUUAGCUAGUUGGUGAGAUAAUAGCUCACCAAGGCAACGAUCAGUAGCCGGCUGGAGAGAGUGUCCGGCCACAUUGGGACUGGGACACAGCCCAGACUCUACGGGGGGCAGCAGUGGGGAAUUUUGCACAAUGGGGGAAACCCUGAUGCGGCGACGCCGCGUGAUUGAGAAGGCCUUCGGGUUGUAAACCGCUUUCAGCCAUGACGCGGUAGUGGCAGAAGAAGCACCGGCUAACUACGUGCCAGCAGCCGCGGUAAUAC